rnacentral:rRNA from 1 species
AGAACGAACGCUGGCGGCAUGCCUAACACAUGCAAGUCGAACGAGACCUUCGGGUCUAGUGGCGCACGGGUGCGUAACGCGUGGGAAUCUGCCCUUGGGUUCGGAAUAACAGUUAGAAAUGACUGCUAAUACCGGAUGAUGUCUUCGGACCAAAGAUUUAUCGCCCAGGGAUGAGCCCGCGUAGGAUUAGGUAGUUGGUGGGGUAAUGGCCCACCAAGCCGACGAUCCUUAGCUGGUCUGAGAGGAUGAUCAGCCACACUGGGACUGAGACACGGCCCAGACUCCUACGGGAGGCAGCAGUGGGGAAUAUUGGACAAUGGGCGAAAGCCUGAUUCAGCAAUGCCGCGUGAGUGAUGAAGGCCUUAGGGUUGUAAAGCUCUUUUACCAGGGAUGAUAAUGACAGUACCUGGAGAAUAAGCUCCGGCUAACUCCGUGCCAGCAGCCGC